rnacentral:rRNA from 1 species
UACGUAGGGUGCGAGCGUUACUCGGAAUUACUGGGCGUAAAGCGUGCGCAGGCGGUUCGUUGUGUCGGUGGUGAAAUCCCCGGGCUUAACCUGGGAAUGGCCAUGGAAACUGGCGAACUGGAGUGCGGCAGAGGAGAGUGGAAUUCCCGGUGUAGUGGUGAUAUGCGUAGAUAUCGGGAGGAACACCAGUGGCGAAGGCGGCUCUCUGGGCCCUACCUGGCGCUGAGACGCGAAAGCGUGGGGAGCGAACCGG